rnacentral:rRNA from 1 species
UCAAAUUUGAAAUCUGGCUCUCGGGCCCGAGUUGUAAUUUGUAGAGGAUGCUUUUGAUGCGGUGCCUUCCGAGUUCCCUGGAACGGGACGCCAUAGAGGGUGAGAGCCCCGUCUGGUUGGAUGCCAAAUCUCUGUAAAGCUCCUUCGACGAGUCGAGUAGUUUGGGAAUGCUGCUCUAAAUGGGAGGUAUAUGUCUUCUAAAGCUAAAUACCGGCCAGAGACCGAUAGCGCACAAGUAGAGUGAUCGAAAGAUGAAAAGCACUUUGAAAAGAGAGUUAAAAAGUACGUGAAAUUGUUGAAAGGGAAGCGUUUAUGACCAGACUUGGGCUUGGUUAAUCAUCUGGGGUUCUCCCCAGUGCACUUUUCCAGUCCAGGCCAGCAUCAGUUUUCGCCGGGGGAUAAAGGCUUCGGGAAUGUGGCUCUCUCCGGGGAGUGUUAUAGCCCGUUGCGUAAUACCCUGGCGGGGACUGAGGUUCGCGCAUCUGCAAGGAUGCUGGCGUAAUGGUCAUCAACGACCCGUCUUGAACCACGGACCA